rnacentral:lncRNA from 1 species
UGUGUGUGUGUAUGUGUAUGCUUGUGCAUGUGUGUGUAUUGAUAAAUGUGGUAUACUAUUCGAAAUACAACUCUGAAAGGAAUAAAAAAAUUUUCUCCAUCGAUUUGAUUCUGCUGAGUAUUGGAUAUUUGAUGUUAGAUGCUGUUGCAACGCUAAACUUUUCAACUAUUAGUUUUAAAGGAUAUUCAAAACAUUUUCAAUAUAUGCAAGUUGAGAGUUUCAAAAAAAAGUUAUAUUCCAAUUUGCUGAAAUUAACAACAUUUUAGUAGAUAUAACUGCACAGUUCUCUAAUGAUCCAGAAGAAGGUUUUACACAAUGUAAAAUUUCAGAUGAACUUAAUGUUUUGAAAAGAAAAAUUGCAAAUAUAGAUAUCCAAUACAUCGCUUUUGUAUUAGUAAAACAGUUAUCAUUAAUUAGCGGUAAAAAAUCAAAAAAAAAAAUAUUUUGCUCUUACUACCAACAGACACUAUUUUGUCCGAAUACAGCAUGAAUGGUCUAAAGAAGAAAAAAAAGUUUAAAGAAUUGACAAGUCUAUGUAAUGCUGAAACUGCUUUAAAGUCAAAUAAAAACAAAAUGGAUGCCAUCCAUCCAACUUAUUGGGAGAGUAAUUAGGAAUUCUUCUGACCGAUUAAAGAAAACAUCCACUAAUAUGAAUAUCAAUCAAUGAUCGGCUUAA